rnacentral:rRNA from 1 species
UGGGGAAUAUUGCGCAAUGGGGGGAACCCUGACGCAGCCAUGCCGCGUGAAUGAAGAAGGCCUUAGGGUUGUAAAGUUCUUUCGGUAUUGAGGAAGGUUGAUGUGUUAAUAGCACAUCAAAUUGACGUUAAAUACAGAAGAAGCACCGGCUAACUCCGUGCCAGCAGCCGCGGUAAUACGGAGGGUGCGAGCGCUAAUCGGAAUAACUGGGCGUAAAGGGCACGCAGGCGGUUAUUUAAGUGAGGUGUGAAAGCCCCGGGCUUAACCUGGGAAUUGCAUUUCAGACUGGGUAACUAGAGUACUUUAGGGAGGGGUAGAAUUCCACGUGUAGCGGUGAAAUGCGUAGAGAUGUGGAGGAAUACCGAAGGCGAAGGCAGCCCCUUGGGAAUGUACUGACGCUCAUGUGCGAAAGCGUGGGGAGCAAACAGGAUUAGAUACCCUGGUAGUCCACGCUGUAAACGCUGUCGAUUUGGGGGUUGGGGUUUAACUCUGGCGCCCGUAGCUAACGUGAUAAAUCGACCGCCUGGGGAGUACGGCCGCAAGGUUA